UCUCCCUGCACAGGCAGGCAGGACAUGCUCCAACUGAGCAAAGUUCAGGGAACCAAGUUUCAAUUUAGAUGCCAGGAAGCACUUCCUGACAGUUAGGACCCUGAGGGUGUGGAGUGGGCUUCCACAGGAGGUGGUUGAGGCCCCAUCGGUGCGG